AUACUUACCCGGCAGGGGACAUACCAUGAUCACAAAGGUGGUUUUCCCAGGGCAAGGCUUAUCCAUUGCACUCUGAAUGUGCUGACCCCCUUGAUUUCCCCAAAUGUGGGAAAUGCGACUGCAUAAUUUGUGGUAAUGGGGGACUGCAUUCACGCUCUCCCCUG
rnacentral:snRNA from 1 species